GACAAGUAGAGCAUUCCUUUUUGAUCAAACUCAAAACGCUUAGUGAGCCAUCACCAGCAUCCAUCCCUGUACACUUCCAUCCACUCAUCUGUCCAUCUCUUCUCUACACCAGAGAGACUUGAUGACUACUAUAAAGUUUUUAUAACCGUUAGUCAAUUUGCAAUCAGCAUCGCAGAAAUUCCCACAGAACACACUGAAUAGAUUUCUUCAUGGCAAAUGGUCUGAAUGGCCAGCUGUUUUAAUCCAGAUGGAUGAACAUGCAGUAUUUUUAAACUAGUACUAAAAACUUGUGGAAAAUAGCAGUAGUACUUCAUUGUAUAUGGAUAAUGGUACGCAGUCUGAGGUCAGUCUUGAUAAGAAAUUUAAAUUAAUAAAGGACUUGCAUGAUUGUAAGAUUAUGUAAAGAGAUGUAAUGAGAUGACUUAAUCGAUGGAUUUUCUCAUUGACUUUGGGAGUUUUUUCCAUGCAGUUUCUCCUCAGCUGAGGAAUCUAGAUUUUAUAAAUCUUGUUUAGUCUCUGAACAUAUAUGGUGAUGAUAAUGGGGGGAAAUCCUUUCUGUUUGCAAAUGAAAAUGGUGCUACUGUACAUGUGGCCCAUUUGUAAAACAAGAAAUUCUCAACAAAGUCCUAGUCUCCCACCUUAAAAGCAAUAAAGAUGUCAUUUAAAAGGAAUAA